CCUACGGGUGGCAGCAGUGAGGAAUAUUGGACAAUGGACGCAAGCCUGAACCAGCCAUGCCGCGUGCAGGAAGACGGCCCUAUGAGUUGUAAACUGCUUUUGUACGAGGGUAAACGCAGAUACGCGUCUCUGUCUGAAAGUAUCGUACGAAUAAGGAUCGGCUAACUCCGUGCCAGCAGCCGCGGUAAUACGGAGGAUUCAAGCGUUAUCCGGAUUUAUUGGGUUUAAAGGGUGCGUAGGCGGUCGGAUAAGUUAGAGGUGAAAUCCCGAGGCUCAACUUCGGAAUUGCAUCUGAUACUGUUCGGCUAGAGUGUAGUUGCGGUAGGCGGAAUGUAUGGUGUAGCGGUGAAAUGCUUAGAGAUCAUGCAGAACACCGAUUGCGAAGGCAGCUUACCAAGCUACUUCUGACGUUGAGGCACGAAAGCGUGGGGAGCAAACAGGAUUAGAUACCCCGGUAGUC
rnacentral:rRNA from 1 species